UUUGUAUUACGAGCGGAAAUUGUUACCAUUGGCAUUUUCGGUUCAAAAAUGGUAACAAUUUCCGCACGUAAUACAAA